UUUGUGCUUUCUGUUUUCUUUCCGUGCUAGGGUUUUACUUUCAGUGGCAUCUGCCGUGUGACCUGCCUCUAUGGCCAGGUGCAGGUAUUUGGUUUUACCAUCAGCCAAGGCCAGCCUGCCCGAGACAUCUUCUCUGUGUAUACCCACUCUUGCUUGAGUAUCCAUGCACUUCAUUACUCGUUGCCUGAGAAAAGCAAGAAAGAACUCAAAAGGGAAGCCCGGAAUUUGCUCAAAUCUCAUCUUAACCUUGAUGACAGGCGUUGGUCGAUGCAGAAUUUUUCUCUUCAGUGUUCCAUUGUGUUG